GACGAACGCUGGCGGCGUGCCUAACACAUGCAAGUCGAGCGGAGUCAGUAAGAGGAAGUUUUCGGAUGGAAUCUUAUUGAUUUAGCGGCGGACGGGUGAGUAACGCGUGAGCGACCAACCUUGCACAGGGGGAUAACGGACCGAAAGGUUCACUAAUACCGCAUGAGACCACGGUGUUGCAUGACACAGGGGUCAAAGGAGUAAUCCGGUGCAAGACGGGCUCGCGUCCGAUUAGGUAGUUGGAGGGGUAACGGACCACCAAGCCUAUGAUCGGUAGCCGACCUGGGAGGGUGAUCGGCCACAUUGGAACUGAGAUACGGUCCAAACUCCUACGGGAGGCAGCAGUGGGGAAUAUUGGGCAAUGGGGGAAACCCUGACCCAGCAACGCCGCGUGAAGGAAGAAGGUUUUCGGAUUGUAAACUUCUGUCCUUGGUGAAGAGAAGAAGACGGUAGCCAAGGAGGAAGCCCCGGCUAACUACAUGCCAGCCGCCGCCGUAA
rnacentral:rRNA from 1 species